GGGGAGAACGGGGAUGGUCCCCCUAUGGGCUGCAAACCCAUGAGCCAGCCUGAGAACCAGGCUGGAGUCCGGUUCGAUUCCGACUUCUCCCC
rnacentral:tRNA from 1 species